UACGGAGGAUCCAAGCGUUAUCCGGAUUUAUUGGGUUUAAAGGGUGCGUAGGCGGGACAGUAAGUCAGUGGUGAAAUCCUAUCGCUUAACGAUAGAAUUGCCAUUGAUACUGCUGACCUUGAGUACAAAUGAUGUGGGCGGAAUGUGCAGUGUAGCGGUGAAAUGCUUAGAUAUUGCACAGAACACCGAUAGCGAAGGCAGCUCACAAAACUGUAACUGACGCUGAGGCACGAAAGUAUGGGGAUCAAACAGG
rnacentral:rRNA from 1 species